GUGGGAGGGGGCUUGCCCCCGAUGGCGGAGUGUCAGUCACCUUAUCUAUGGCUGACACACUGCUAUCGGGGGCAAGCCCCCUCCCAC
rnacentral:misc_RNA from 1 species